UCAGCAUUUCAAUAGUGUUUAUUUCUGUAUGCUAGGAGUGAGGGUCAUUUUAUUUUUUUCAUCAGAAAAAGUGUUGUUUAUUAAAAAGAUAACACAUAAGAUCCUCCCCCUACUUCAAAUUUCCCCCCAGUAAAGGCUUAGUGGGUGACUGUCACCUGAGCAUAGGCACGUUAUGAAAGUCCAUUAUUAUAAAGGCUUGUGUGAAUUAGGCAGAGAGAUUUACUUUGAUCUCUUUGAAUUACCAUAUAUGCCUAGAAAACAUUCUAAAAUAAGAGAGCAUUGCAGACCAAAAUAGCCCUGUUUUUGUUGAUAGUGGUAAGAUUAAGCAAUCAGACAUUUCCCUGACAUCUAUUUCCUUGAUGGACAAAUACUGAAAAAGAAGGGACAAGCGCAUUUAAACACACACACAUUCCCUUUACCUGGUGGAAAAGCAAUUGUGUUUGCGGAGGCCUCUCUUAAGUCAUUGCUCAAUGACUCUCUCGCAGGUUAUAAACGUCAACCAAUUUGAAGGGAUGGUAAAGAGGAAAGAAAACUGGAACAAAUGUCAGAGAAAAGGCACAGCUGAUGAGCACACGAUUCUUAUCAAGGGAGUUUUCAAAUAUCAAGUUUCCGUCACAUUGAGAGGGAUCAGCUGUGACUCUGUGGGAGGGUCCAUCUCAGACGGCAUUUCCCAUGUCACACCUUUCAUCUGAGCAUCUUAGGAUAUUUUAUAAACACAAAACCUCAAUAACAUCUGCAUUAUUUUCUUUGUUUUAUAAAUGGACUAAUCAGUCAUCAAAGAGCUUGUAAAGUUGACAGAGGUCACCUACGAGGACAUUAAUUCCACAUCAACACCUCUCCCCAUGAUGGCCCUCAAUUCAGAUGUGAGAACUACACAGCUUCUACUCUAGCACAUUCUGUAACAUUAAACCCAUGUCCUUAACUUUUUAAAAAUAAUUUUUUAAGGAGACAUCGCUAGGAAAAAAUGCACAGGUGCAGAUAAAUAUCAUCCAUCUAUAGACGUGGACACGAAGAUAUAAAUAGAAAGGGUUCAUUAGCUGUAAAGUAGCAGUAAACUGAUAACAGGCAGAGAAGCUGGAGCCUGGCUCCUGACAAUGAUGUCUGCCUUUGUUUACGUAGCUAAGAACAGAGUGGGGAAGUCUGCAGGCAAUAAACAGAAAGGGAGAAUGUUUAGGGUUUCUUUUGCUAACUCCUUUGUCAAUUGUGAUCUUUCUGACGUCUCUUAACCAUUCUUCAGAGGUUCCCAAACUUUCUUGGCUCGUGGUUCCCUGAGGUCUCAGCAAAUUUGUCGCCGUGCCCCUAGGGUAAAUCUAAUAGUUUCGUUUAUUAAGUACUAGUGAGGUCCGAACAACUUAAUAAUAGUAAUUGGCGUGAUGUCCGACAGAUGGCGCUGUGCUGUCCCCCGACCAUGUAAACCGUCCUGCGGGGCUCCUAGGAGCUCGCUGCAAGGGCCGCCCAGGGCACCUGGGUUCCUUUGAGGACCAGGGCUCCAGAUCAUCCGUGAACAAGGUGAAGUGAGCUGCAGAACUGGCCUUGGAGGAAUUCGAAAACAGGCGAAAGGGACUCCAUGAAGACCCUGAAAGGACACCCGGAAGAACUCGGCAGCCCUCCGACCUGACCAUGAGCUUUGAUGACAAAUCUGUGUGCUUGCCAAGUAGAGGAGAGCUGCUGGAUGCCUCGAGAUGCCCCGGACAGAGGAAAUGGUGGCUCUAAAGGAAUCUGCAGAUGAGAAGUCACACGGGGAGGAUGCAUUAAAUUGCAGGCUGAUUGGCUGUGGAACGUCUCUCACAAGGGCAUCUCCAUGAAGCAUGUAUCCUGGAGACGAGCAGCAAGGAUUUUUUUUUUUUUUCUUUAACCAGCGGUUAGUGAUUCUCCUAAGCCACACCAAGAAUGCCAGAGGCUCUAAUCAGGCUCUGGUGAGAACGAAACCCUGUUCACAGUUAAUGCCAUUCCUCUUUUUGAGAACUAUGGAGUGCCUGCUAAGUGCCAGGCACUGUCUACGUUUAGUGGAAGAUCAAGGCCCGAGGGAGGGGGAGCAGGGGAGGACGACUCUUGGCCUCUCAGAGCUGGGCCUGGUGGCUAAGAACAACAGGAGGUUCCAUUUUAUAACUCGGAGGAAACAGAGGAGGUGUCCGGGCGAUUCACUUUCCUCUCUGACCUCAAUUUACUCUUUUUAAAUGAGAGGGUUGGACUGUGUGAUCUCUAAGCCCCGCUGUUCUGAUUCUAGCACCAUGUGAAGUUCACUUCAAAGUCAGCGAAAGUCGCAGCAACAUAAAUAGACCUCAGGAUAUAAACACUGUGUUAUCCAAAGGGAAAACGAAGAUGACAGACUACAUGUUUUAAAAUAAACUCACUGUGGUUUUUAAUUCUCAAUUCCAUCCUUGAGUUUUAUGAGUAUUGAUUUCCUAAGAAAAGAAAGCCUACAACUGCUACCUUCCUUAAGUACCUUUCUAGUCAUUUUAAAUAAGGUCAUUAACAAUUUUCAGGCCUAAUAUAUAUAACUUUCCAUUUAAAUAUCCUUCCCACCCUCACCAAAAGGACCUUUCUUAUGUAACGAAAACGAAAGUUUUAAUUUUGGACACAAAAAAAUACAGGCUUGACAUUUACUGAGCAUUUAUAAAAAAACAAUACUUUGUGCCUUGCCUAAAAAAAUUCCUGUUAUGUACUUCAAACAUUGACAGGAAGUGUCAUUGACAACACAAUGGGAUGGGCAAACUGAGAGACAGAGACCCAAGACAUUUGCAGUUUGCUUAAGGUCACACAGUUAUUUUAUGUAUCUGCCUCAUUUUCAUCUUAUUUCAUUUAUCCUUCACAGUAGUCUUAGAGAGUAAUUUCCCGACCUACAGAUAAGGAUAUUGAGUUUCAGAAAUAGUAUGUUCUUAAACAAUAACAGAUUCAAAACUAGGUUGACCUAUCUCAAAAACUCUUGCAAUUUUUCCCUAUACCUUGUGGAGUUCUAGCACAUAAUCCCUACUUUGCAAAUUGUACAUUCUCACAUAGGUCAAAUGGAAAGGAUCCCUUCAUCCUCAAACCUUUUUCUUCAGAGAAUGAGAAGGAGGCCGUUCUAGAGGAGAGACAAGGGGAGAAGUGAGGUUAAAGAACUGCCCUCUGUUACUCUAAGAUAUUUCCAGACUUAUCUUUCCCUAACCCUGCCCAGACUUAUAUUGUACCCAAAUUAGACUACCACAGUUCCUGGUUUAUACCCUCAGUAUAUGACACCUCAGUCUGUGAUAAAAUAUAAAAAGAAAAUAAAUGUAUUAUUUCUCACUGUUAAACAUGAAACUGUAGUCGGUCCAUGGCUUUUAUACUCACUCUUACAUAAUGUUUGGCAUCAAAAGUUCCAGUCUAGUCUAAUAAUUGUAAAGUUAGAGUCCACUCCAGUAAAGAAAUAAAAUAUCUAGACUCUUAUUCAGUGUCAGACUUUCCCCAUUCCUAGAAUGGAGGCCCGGGGGGAGGAGAGGAAGGGAGCAGGGCUGGUUCUUAAGCAGUUCCUCUUCUGCCUCCUCUCCCACUGUGAGCUCUCUCUGAAGUCAGCCUAGGAAGAGAGGAACUAGAAGAACGGGGCCAGGCUGCAUGGCUGGUAUAAGGUUAUCUGGCCUCAGUGCCCUCUGGACUAAAGAAGCAUUGCUGACUCUUUCUCUUUUGGACACUUUUGUUGAUUCUUUGGAGUCUCACUCAAGAUC
ensembl:lncRNA